rnacentral:autocatalytically_spliced_intron from 1 species
GAACACCAUAUGCGGUGAAAGUUGCACGUACGUUGUGAGCAGGUGAAAUAAGAGCGAUAACUUCAAACUCUUAC